rnacentral:rRNA from 1 species
GGGAUAACUACUGGAAACGGUAGCUAAUACCGCAUAACGUCGCAAGACCAAAGAGGGGGACCUUCGGGCCUCUUGCCAUCGGAUGUGCCCAGAUGGGAUUAGCUUGUUGGUGGGGUAACGGCUCACCAAGGCGAUGAUCCCUAGCUGGUCUGAGAGGAUGACCAGCCACACUGGAACUGAGACACGGUCCAGACUCCUACGGGAGGCAGCAGUGGGGAAUAUUGCACAAUGGGCGCAAGCCUGAUGCAGCCAUGCCGCGUGUAUGAAGAAGGCCUUCGGGUUGUAAAGUACUUUCAGCGGGGAGGAAGGGAGUAAAGUUAAUACCUUUGCUCAUUGACGUUACCCGCAGAAGAAGCACCGGCUAACUCCGUGCCAGCAGCCGCGGUAAUACGGAGGGUGCAAGCGUUAAUCGGAAUUACUGGGCGUAAAGCGCACGCAGGCGGUUUGUUAAGUCAGAUGUGAAAUCCCCGGGCUCAACCUGGGAACUGCAUCUGAUACUGGCAAGCUUGAGUCUCGUAGAGGGGGGUAGAAUUCCAGGUGUAGCGGUGAAAUGCGUAGAGAUCUGGAGGAAUACCGGUGGCGAAGGCAGCCCCCUGGACGAAGACUGACGCUCAGGUGCGAAAGCGUGGGGAGCAAACAGGAUUAGAUACCCU